GAUGAACGCUGGCGGCGUGCUUAACACAUGCAAGUCGAACGGAAAGGCCCUGCUUGCAGGGUACUCGAGUGGCGAACGGGUGAGUAACACGUGGGUGAUCUGCCCUGUACUUUGGGAUAAGCCUGGGAAACUGGGUCUAAUACCGAAUAUGACAAUUGUUUGGAUGCGAUUGUGGAAAGCUUUUGCGGUAUGGGAUGAGCUCGCGGCCUAUCAGCUUGUUGGUGGGGUAAUGGCCUACCAAGGCGUCGACGGGUAGCCGGCCUGAGAGGGUGUACGGCCACAUUGGGACUGAGAUACGGCCCAGACUCCGACGGGAGGCAGCAAUGGGGAAUAUUGCACAAUGGGCGCAAGCCUGAUGCAGCGACGCCGCGUGGGGGAUGACGGCCUUCGGGUUGUAAACUCCUUUCGCAACCGACGAAGCCUUUUGGUGACGGUAGGUUGAGAAGAAGCACCGGCUAACUACGUG
rnacentral:rRNA from 1 species